rnacentral:miRNA from 1 species
UCUCGUCUUGAUCUCAGAAGCUAAGCAGGGUUGGGCCUGGUUAGUACUUGGAUUGGGGAAA